GUCAGGCGCAGUGGCUUAUGCCUGUAAUCCCAGCACUUUGGGAGGCCAAGGCGGGCAGAUCACGAGGUCAGGAGUUUGAGACCAGCCUGGCCAAUAUGGUGAAACUGCAUCUCUACAAAAAAUACAAAAAUUAGACAGGUGUGGUGGCACAUGCCUGUAGUUCCAGCUACUUGGGAGGCUGAGGCAGAAGAAUCUCUUGAACUUGGCUAAUUUUUGUAUUUUUAGUAGAGAGGUGGUUUCACCAUGUUGGCCAAGCUGAUCUCGAACUCCUGAUCUCGUGAUUCGCCUGCCUCA
ensembl:misc_RNA Metazoa_SRP Metazoan signal recognition particle RNA